CUUUACGGUCAGUUCGUUAUAGCAGUAGUUCGUUGUACACAUUUGCAUAGGUUGGUUAUUGAUGUAUAGGCUAGGGAGAUAAAGCAGGACUUUACGGUCAGUUCGUUCUAUGCAGUAGUUCGUUGUACACAUUUGCAUAGGUUGGUUAUUGAUGUAUAGGCUAGGGAGAUAAAGCAGGACUUUACGGUCAGUUCGUUCUAUGCAGUAGUUCGUUGUACACAUUUGCAUAGGUUGGUUAUUGAUGUAUAGGCUAGGGAGAUAAAGCAGGACAUUACGGUCAGUUCGUUAUAGCAGUAGUUCGUUGUACACAUUUGCAUAGGUUGGUUAUUGAUGUAUAGGCUAGGGAGAUAAAGCAGGACUUUACGGUCAGUUCGUUCUAUGCAGUAGUUCGUUGUACACAUUUGCAUAGGUUGGUUAUUGAUGUAUAGGCUAGGGAGAUAAAGCAGGACUUUACGGUCAGUUCGUUAUAGCAGUAGUUCGUUGUACACAUUUGCAUAGGUUGGUUAUUGAUGUAUAGGCUAGGGAGAUAAAGCAGGACUUUACGGUCAGUUCGUUCUAUGCAGUAGUUCGUUGUACACAUUUGCAUAGGUUGGUUAUUGAUGUAUAGGCUAGGGAGAUAAAGCAGGACUUUACGGUCAGUUCGUUAUAGCAGUAGUUCGUUGUACACAUUUGCAUAGGUUGGUUAUUGAUGUAUAGGCUAGGGAGAUAAAGCAGGACUUUACGGUCAGUUCGUUCUAUGCAGUAGUUCGUUGUACACAUUUGCAUAGGUUGGUUAUUGAUGUAUAGGCUAGGGAGAUAAAGCAGGACAUUACGGUCAGUUCGUUAUAGCAGUAGUUCGUUGUACACAUUUGCAUAGGUUGGUUAUUGAUGUAUAGGCUAGGGAGAUAAAGCAGGACUUUACGGUCAGUUCGUUCUAUGCAGUAG